UACGAAGGGGGCUAGCGUUGCUCGGAAUUACUGGGCGUAAAGGGCGCGUAGGCGGCACAGUUAGUCAGGCGUGAAAUUCCUGGGCUCAACCUGGGGAUUGCGCUUGAAACGGCUGAGCUUGAGGACGGAAGAGGGUCGUGGAAUUCCCAGUGUAGAGGUGAAAUGCGUAGAGAUUGGAAAGAACACCGAUGGCGAAGGCACUUUACUGGGCUAUUACUAACACUCAGAGACGAAAGCUAGGGUAGCAAAUGGG
rnacentral:rRNA from 1 species